CCGUCUUACCUUCUUCAGGUUCCGUAGUCUGGUGUGUUCACUCAUGGCAUCCUGGAAGCAGAAGAAAGCAUCAUGAUGAACACAGACAACACCAGGAGGCGCCGUCAUCCUGAGAGGGAGCCAUGAAGAUGAGCUCCUCAGCACCUCCUCACCUGAGAGGAGCUCACACAGUGUGAAAGAAGGGAUGCUAAACCGAUUACAAGCUUACAGAAAUAUAAUGCGCCAUUUAAAAAUACCUAACACACAUAUAUCAAAGUCAAGGCCCGGGGCCGGACCCGGCCCUCUAGGUUUGCUUCACUGUAAACAACCCUGACACUGGACAGACGGGUUCUUCUGCUUCCUCCUGCAUGGCAGAAUACCGCAAAUACCACUGGAUGACAACAGAGGGUCUGCGCCAGUCCGAGCGGAGGAGCUUUUGGGUGAAGGUCAUCCAGGAGCUGCAGCAGGAAGAAACCCAGAGAAGAUGAAUGACCACGCCCUGAAACUGCAAACGAAACCAUCCAACCUGCUUCACGCCUCAUCUGCUGCGCGUGUACGUGAAGACACACAAGCAUGCGCGUGCGUGCGCACAGCUCCUUUGUCUGCAGGAACACUGCUUCUGAGAAACUCAUCUGCAUUAUUCUCCACUCCAUGACGUUCCCAACUUAAGUCCAAUAGCUCAUUCCCGGGAGUUUCCCCAAAAAUAUAUAUAUUUUUAAAAAAGGAGGAUGUUUUGUUUAUCCCUGUUGUCUUCUUGUCUUUUUCCUUUUUAAGAAUAUUAGUGAUUUGUUUCCGUGAUUCUUACUUAAGUAGUUAAACUGAAUUGUUGUGUGUACCGACUGUUCAUGACCCGUUUACUCUCACUAACCUUUUGUCAGAUCAGGGCGUAUUCAAACGCUCCGUACCAUUCUGAAAUUAGCCCGACCUGACAGACUCCACUACUUCAACAACAAAGAAACUGCAGAUGGUUUCAGCUUUGCCACAGUUUUGCAUGCCCCCAGCCUCUGCUGGGUGGGAUCUUUUCUUGCUUUUCCACCGAGUGAUGGAUUCAUCGUCUACGACCCAAAUGUUUAGAAGUUCUCCAGCCUUUUUAACGAUUUGAUUUUUGCAGCAUGAUAAAGAAACUGAUGAACACAUCGU